rnacentral:tRNA from 1 species
UCCCUAGUAGCUCAGUUGGUAAAGAAUUUGCCUGCAAUGCAAGAGACCCGGGUUCGAUCCCCUGGAGAA